AAAAGCAAUUUUGUUAAUCACUUUAGCACCAAUUCUUGCAUCCCUGGCAAUACUCAGAACUGCUUCCAUCCAAGUCUUUGAUGUGGGAAAGAAACACACACACACUCUUUCGCAUGUAAUCUGAAAACAAUUCACCUCUUGCCAAUGAAUGCACAGCACUCCACUUUAAUAGAGAGCAAGUUCUGUGGAGGUUUCUAAUCCUUUCUGCCAAAGAAGAGAAGAGAGAGAAUCACUCAGCUUCUAUUGCAGAUGUGAAGUUUAGCAUUUCUUUGCUCACUCUUUUACUGGGAA
rnacentral:lncRNA from 3 species